rnacentral:tRNA from 1 species
AAGUAUGAAGCAAUAAAUUGCAAUUAGUUUCGACCUAAUCUUUAGAUUAUAAUAAUCCUUACUUU